GACUUUUUGAGCAAACUGACGACUGAUAAUUAAUAAAAAUAUGGGAGUCAAAUCGGGCUGAAAUUAUACCUUUUCUUAACUUAACUUAACUUUAAUGAUAUUUUACACAAUUUCCUUGGCUGUCCCAAUGCAGGUCGAAUGACUUUUGCUUUUUUAUUUGUCGAUGAUGCCCGGCACAGUUCCCCGGCACACUUCCCCAGCACAGUUCCCCAGCACGGUUCCCCAGCACAGUUCUCCAGCACGGUUCCCUAGGACGGUUCCCCAGCACGGUUCCCCAGCACAGUUCCCCAGGACAGUUCCCCGGCACGGUUCCCCAGCACGGUUCCCCAGCACGGUUUCCCGGCACGGUUCCCCAGCACGGUUCCCCAGCACAGUUCCCCAGCACGGUUCCCCAGCACGGUUUCCUGGCACGGUUCCCCAGCACAGUUUUCCAACACAGUUCCCCAGCACAGUUUACCGGCACGGUUUCCCAGCACGGUUCCCCGGCACGGUUCCCCAGCACAGUUCCCCAGCACGGUUUUCCAGCACGGUUCCCCGGCACGGUUCCCCAGCACGGUUCCUCAGGACAGUUCCCCAGCACGGUUUCCCGGCACGGUUUCCCGGCACGGUUCCCCAGCACGGUUCCCCAGCACGGUUCCCCGGCACGGUUCCCCAGCACGGUUUCCCGGCACUGUUCCCCAGCACGGUUCCCCAGCACGGUUCCCCAGCACAGUUUCCCAGCACAGUUCCCCAGCAAGGUUCCCCAGCACAGCUUCCCGGCACGGUUCCCCGGCACGGUUCCCCAGCACGGUUCCCCAGGACAGUUCCCCGGCACGGUUCCCCAGCACGGCUCCCCAGCACGGUUUCCCGGCACGGUUUCCCGGCACGGUUCCCCAGCACGGUUCCCCGGCACGGUUCCCCGGCACGGUUCCCCAGCACGGUUUCCCGGCACUGUUCCCCAGCACGGUUCCCCAGUACAGUUCCCCAGCAAGGUUCCCCUGCACGCUUCCCGGCACGGUUCCCGGCACGGUUCCUGGCACGGUUCCCCAGCACAGUUCCCCAGCACGGUUUUCCAGCACGGUUUUCCAGCACGGUUCCCCGGCACGGUUCCCCAGCACAGUUCCCCAGCACAGUUCCCCAGCACAGUUCCCCAGCACAGUUCCCUAGCACAGUUCCCCAGCACGGUUUCCCUAAUGUAAUUGGAGAGAGUCACCUAACCACCAAAAGGUCUUUCUGUCCAUGUGCCCCACCAGCUUCUAUGAGCAGUGUGUUCCUGACAACACGUUCCACGUGCUCCUCAGUUUUUGGUCUGUUCACUUCCUGCCUAGUUCUGUAUGGUAUAAAGAUUCCUUGAAUACGUUUCCUGACGGCUCACGUGCUGAAUGCGAUGCUAUGGCGGCUUUGGCGUGCGAUGGAUGGCAACGAUUCCUCCUCAUUAGAGCAAAGGAAAUCAAAAGUGGUGGGUGUAUGUUGCUGAUAGUUCCUGCACAAGAUACAGACAUGACAUAUGGUGAAAGCAGAGUUCAUUUGCAGAACCUGUGGGUAGCCAUGACGACAGUGUGGAGAUUGUUAAGGGAUCUGCAUCAAGUGACAGAG
rnacentral:misc_RNA from 1 species